UUCGCAAUGCCCGAAAGGGUGACGAAGCGACGCCGCGUGCGGGAAGAAGGCCUUCGGGUUGUAAACCGCUGUCGGGAGUUAAGAAAUGUAAGGAUGUUAAUAGCAUCUUUGCUUGACUAAGGCUCCGGAGGAAGCCACGGCUAACUCUGUGCCAGCAGCCGCGGUAAUACAGAGGCGGCAAGCGUUGUUCGGAAUUAUUGGGCGUAAAGAGCACGUAGGCGGCUAUGUAAGUCGGUUGUGAAAGCCUUCCGCUCAACGGGAGAACAGCAUCCGAUACUGCAUGGCUUGAGUGCGGGAGGGGAGAGUGGAACUUCUGGUGGAGCGGUGAAAUGCGUAGAUAUCAGAAGGAACGCCGGAGGCGAAAGCGACUCUCUGGAUCAUUCCUGACGCUGAGUGCGCGAAAGCUAGGGGAGCAAAAGGGAUUAGAUACCCCUGUAGUCCUAGCCGUAAACGAUGGGCACUAAGUAGAGGGGUUUU
rnacentral:rRNA from 1 species